UGGGUGUAGCUCAGUGCCAGAGCCCUUGCCUAGCAUGCAUGAGGCCCUGGGUUCCAUCCCCAGCACUGCAA
rnacentral:tRNA from 1 species